GAUGAACGCUGGCGGCGUGCUUAACACAUGCAAGUCGAACGAACGGAGAGGAGCUUGCUCCUCAAAGUUAGUGGCGGACGGGUGAGUAACGCGUGGGUAACCUACCCUAUGCAGGGGGAUAACGUUUGGAAACGAACGCUAAUACCGCAUAAACUAUCGAGUGUCGCAUGACACUUAUAGCAAAGAUUUAUCGGCAUAGGAUGGACCCGCGUUGGAUUAGCUAGUUGGUGAGAUAACAGCCCACCAAGGCGACGAUCCAUAGCCGGCCUGAGAGGGUGAACGGCCACAUUGGGACUGAGACACGGCCCAAACUCCUACGGGAGGCUG
rnacentral:rRNA from 1 species